AUUGAACGCAGGCGGCAGGCUUAACACAUGCAAGUCGAGCGGAGAUGAGGUGCUUGCACCUUAUCUUAGCGGCGGACGGGUGAGUAACGCUUAGGAAUCUGCCUAUUAGUGGGGGACAACAUUCCGAAAGGAAUGCUAAUACCGCAUACGUCCUACGGGAGAAAGCAGGGGAUCUUCGAACCUUGCGCUAAUAGAUGAGCCUAAGCCGGAUUAGCUAGUUGGUGGGGUAAAGGCCUACCAAGGCGACGAUCUGUAGCGGGUCUGAGAGGAUGAUCCGCCACACUGGGACUGAGACACGGCCCAGACUCCUACGGGAGGCAGCAGUGGGGAAUAUUGGACAAUGGGCGGAAGCCUGAUCCAGCCAUGCCGCGUGUGUGAAGAAGGCCUUUUGGUUGUAAAGCACUUUAAGCGAGGAGGAGGCUACCUAGAUUAAUACUCUGGGAUAGUGGACGUUACUCGCAGAAUAAGCACCGGCUAACUCUGUGCCAGCCGCCGCCGUAAAAC
rnacentral:rRNA from 1 species